rnacentral:lncRNA from 1 species
AAAAAAAUAUAUAGAUGUACUAUUGUAAAGUGGUUGUUCCACUGGAUAACAUAAGGUGAAUGCACCAAUUUGUAAGUCGCUCUGGAUAAGAACGUCUGCUAAAUGACGUAAAUGUAAAGUAAAUAUAUGUGGAUGAGAGAGCUUCCUACUGCCUGAGCUAUGUUGUUGAUGUAAAUUGAGAAGAUCGUGGGGCCUAAGAUUGAGCCUUGGGGUACACCCUUGGUGACAGGCAGGGGAUGAGACAACUGAUGUUCUGACUUUAUACAUUGCACUCUUUGGGAGGCGUAGUUAGCAAACCAGGCCAAAGGCCACUCAGAGACAGUCCUUAGUCAACCCACAAGAAUAGAAUUGAAAAGCGUUGGCCAAGUCAAUAAAGAUAGCAGCACAAUAUUGCUUAGAGUCAAGGGCAGUGCUGACAUCAUUUAGGACCUUUAAACUCCCUGGGCAAGGUGGGACGCUUGCAUUAUUCAGAAGAUAAGGAGAGAGAUGUUUAAUUAGCUAGCCUCUCUGGGCUAGGUUGGACGUUUGCGUCCCACCCUAGUCAACAGCCAGUGGAAUCGCGUGGCGCGAAAUACAAAUACCUCAUAAAUGCUAUAACUUCAAUUUCUCAAACAUAUGACUAUUUUACACCAUUUUCAAGACAAGACUCUCGUUAAUCUAACCACGUUGUCCAAUUUCAAAAAGGCUUUACAGCGAAAGCAAAACAUUAGAUUAUGUCAGGAGAGUACCCUGCCAAAAAUAAUCACACAGCCAUUUUCAAAGCAAGCAUAUAUGUCACAAAAACCAAAACCACAGCUAAAUGCAGCACUAACCUUUGAUGAUCUUCAUCAGAUGACACUCCUAGGACAUUAUGUUAUACAAUACAUGCAUGUUUUGUUCAAUAAAGUUCAUAUACUGUCAAACAAAUAACUUUUAUCACAGCAACUGGUUUGAUACAUUCACCUCUGAAUGUAAAUAAUGUACUUACAUUCAGCAAUCUCUCUCUGAUUUGUCAUCCUGAGGGUCCCAGAGAUAAAAUGUAGCAUAGUUUUGUUUGAUAAAAGCCAUUUUUAUAUUCAAAUGUAGGAACUGGGUUCUACAGUUUGAACCCCUGCUGUCUCUGGCUCCACUCUCACCCCAUCCCCGGCAUCUAGACGUGGGAAAGUUAGUGUAAAAGCUGAUGAUCCAUCAUGUAUGACAUUCCUGGGAGUGUGUAAACUUAAAUGUUGUAUUACCAUAUCAUUGUUGUAUGUUCUCUAUAGUUAUGUACUUGAAAAUGUAUCAAUUUACCAAUUUGGCACAUUUGUGCAGACGAUACAAAAUAAUACGAUACAAAAUACAAAAUAAUGUGCAGUAUUGCAAUGCUUCACUGGAUCAAUUUGAAACUUUGCGCACUGCUGUCAUCUACUGGCCAAAAUCUAAAUUGUGCCUAAACUGCAAUAUUAUAUUAAUCAAAUAAAAUCAUAUUUGUCACAACCUUACAGUGAAGUCUUUAACCAACAAUGCAGUUUAAAAAAAAC